rnacentral:rRNA from 1 species
AUUGAACGCUGGCGGCAGGCCUAACACAUGCAAGUCGAGCGGUAGAGAGGUGCUUGCAUCUCUUGAGAGCGGCGGACGGGUGAGUAAUGCCUAGGAAUCUGCCUAGUGGUGGGGGAUAACGUUCGGAAACGGACGCUAAUACCGCAUACGUCCUACGGGAGAAAGCGGGGGAUCUUCGGACCUCGCGCCAUUAGAUGAGCCUAGGUCGGAUUAGCUAGUUGGUGAGGUAAUGGCUCACCAAGGCGACGAUCCGUAACUGGUCUGAGAGGAUGAUCAGUCACACUGGAACUGAGACACGGUCCAGACUCCUACGGGAGGCAGCAGUGGGGAAUAUUGGACAAUGGGCGAAAGCCUGAUCCAGCCAUGCCGCGUGUGUGAAGAAGGUCUUCGGAUUGUAAAGCA